UACAACAACUGGGUUGGAGAAGAAAAGGUCCAGCCAAACAGCUCUGUCUAUCGACUCUUUGCUGCAAAACCAGGCCCCAAACCUGAAGAAAGACCUAAAACAGCCACAUCCAAUGGGACCCUGCAGUGGAUGCAGGACAGACUGAAAGUUGGACACUGGGUUGAUAAAUACCGUGACCA